rnacentral:rRNA from 1 species
GGUGGGAACUCAUGGGAUACUGCCGGGGUCAACUCGGAGGAAGGUGGGGAUGACGUCAAAUCAUCAUGCCCCUUAUGUCUUGGGCUUCACGCAUGCUACAAUGGCCGGUACAAUGGGCAGCGAUACCGUGAGGUGGAGCGAAUCCCAAAAAGCCGGUCCCAGUUCGGAUUGAGGUCUGCAACUCGACCUCAUGAAGUCGGAGUCGCUAGUAAUCGCAGAUCANC